rnacentral:rRNA from 1 species
GACAGAGGAUGCAAGCGUUAUCCGGAAUCAUUGGGCGUAAAGCGCGCGUAGGCGGCCCGGUAAGUCCGCUGUAAAAGUCCAGGGCUCAACCCUGGAACGCCGGUGGAUACUGUCGGGCUAGAGUCCGGAAGAGGCGAGUGGAAUUCCUGGUGUAGCGGUGGAAUGCGCAGAUAUCAGGAGGAACACCUAUUGCGAAGGCAGCUCGCUGGGACGUAACUGACGCUGAGACGCGAAAGCGUGGGGAGCAAACAGG